UUAUAACUUUAAAAAGUUUGGCUUAAAGCUUUCUUAUGUGUCCGACGAUCAAAUUUUAAUCUUAAGCAGUUUGCAUUCUUUAAGUAAACAACUGUUUUUCGGUGGUGAACUUUUGUUUAGCCUCGCUCGAAAGCUUCCUGGAGCAUCUUUGGGGGUUCGUUACGAAGAUGGAGCCUCUGCUUUUGUAGCUACUUUGAGCCCCUUUACUGGACACUUGGCUACUUCCUACACUGCUUUGAUGCUAAAAGAUUUCUCCAUGUCUACGAGAUACGAGUAUAAUCUUUUUAGCGCCUUAAGCGAUUUAUCCGUUGGAGUGGAAAUUCUUCCUAAUCCACAUUUUAAAUUUAAAUUUCGUGUGGGACUUCUUCAGGGCCUCGGCUUAAUGUUCAAUUUUAAUUUCCCACACUUCUCUUUUACGCUCUCGGCGCACGCGAAAUCUGAUUCCCU